rnacentral:piRNA from 2 species
UGAGUUAAUUUUAUACCCAGCCAC